rnacentral:rRNA from 1 species
GCACGGGUGAGUAACGCGUGGGAACGUGCCCUAGAGUACGGAAUAACGUCGGGAAACUGACGCUAAUACCGUAUAUUCCCGAGAGGGGAAAGAUUUAUCGCUCUAGGAUCGGCCCGCGUCAGAUUAGCUAGUUGGUGAGGUAACGGCUCACCAAGGCUCCGAUCUGUAGCUGUUCUGAGAGGAAGAUCAGCCACACUGGAACUGAGACACGGUCCAGACUCCUACGGGAGGCAGCAGUGGGGAAUAUUUGGACAAUGGGGGAAACCCUGAUCCAGCCAUGCCGCGUGAGUGAUGAAGGCCUUAGGGUUGUAAAGCUCUUUUGCCGGGGACGAUGAUGACGGUACCCGGAGAAUAAGACACGGCUAACUUCGUGCCAGCAGCCGCGGUAAUACGAAGGUGUCUAGCGUUGUUCGGAAUCACUGGGCGUAAAGCGCGCGUAGGCGGCGCAUUAAGUCAGAGGUGAAAGCUGGGAGCUCAAUUCCAGAAUUGGCUUUGAAACUGGUGGCGCUGGGAGUGCAAAAGAGGGAUANGUGGGAAUUCCGGAAUUGGUACAGGUGGAAAUGGGUAAAUUUUUCGGGAGGAAACACCAGUUGGGGAAAG